ACACAGCUAGAUCUUAUCUCAAAAAAGGUGCCAGAGAUGAUGGUACGCCUGCAGGAAGAAGGGAAGCCAAGAUGGUCAGCCACGGGGAAGCUCAUCCACGGAGGGAAAGCUCAAUCGCUGACCAUCUCGGCAAUCGGCAAUUGUCAGUUUCCGCACGAUGUUUGAAAGCUCCCACCCCUUGCUGCCGCCUCUGCUCUGCACCAUGCUUCAGCCUUCUGUAGCCCCGCCCGUCGCCCCGCCCGUCGCCUCUGACAUGUUUUGAAUCCCGGAUUUGAUAGAUGUCUGUCUGCUGCUUUUGUCUGUCUGUCAUUUGCUGCUUACUCUUUCGCUUGCUAUAUAAUGAAUAAAUUCACAUAUUGGAAACUAAA
rnacentral:lncRNA from 1 species